AUCUCCUCCUGGGUUUCCAUCCCUCUUGGCUGGAGUUCCAGGUUUCACUGGCCCAGUUUGGGCCUCAGAGAAUCCCCAGCCUCAUCAGGUUCUGCUCCAGGGAGCCUCUGACUAUGGCAAGACAAAGUCCAAAAGCAGAGUUCUUACCAGGACGUUCCCCAAGGAAGCAGGAGACAGUUGGUCUGGGAGCCACAGCAGGGGAGGAGUCAGAAAAGUAAGGAUGGCACACUGGAGACCAGAAGAAGAAGAUGGGAACAGUUCUGCUUGAAGGAACCGCGAAAGGAUCAAGAUGACCUGUCACUGUGCCUGGGAUCCGGGCUGGAGGUCAGAGGCCUUGGGGGCCUGCAGGAGAAACGGAGGAGUUCUGUGGACAAAGCUGGACUUUGCUUUGAUGCUCAAGAGAGGUUUUGGGUUCCAUUGCCACUGCCGUAUUCACACUGUCCUGUUCCGUCCGCCUCCCCAGCAUCUGAGCGUGUCCCCACACAGUGGUACACAGUAAGACCAUGUAUCUACAAACCCUGGUCCCAGGGUUCAGUUCCCAGCACCCACAUGGCAGUUCACAACUGUCUGUAACUCUAGUCUCAGGGGGAUCCGAUUCCCUCUUCUGACUUCUGUGGGUACUGCAUAUACAUGGUGUGCAGCAUUCAGGAAACACUCACGUACAUAAAAUAAAAAGAAAUAAAAUCUCAAAAAUAUCUAGAAAAGAUGCAAUGGAAUCCAUAGAAACAGAUAAAUACAUCUGAAUCUUAUUUAGUACCCCUAAGGAAGUCCACGUGUUUUACUGACUCAGAGAUCUGGCUGGAGUUUUAUGGGACCAUCCGACCAGAGGAUGCCGACCGAGUUUAUUAGGAGGGUUUCUACAGUGCCUCAGAAAUAUGCACAUACUCUUCAAGCCAAGGAAAUGAACUCCUCUGGAGCUGGGAUGCCUGGACAUUCCACUGUGUCCCAUCCUUGGAAACAAAUGAUGUGCCUUCCAGCUUCCUCUUGGGGACCAUGGUUUUCAAUGCAGAAUGCAUGACACGUGGCUCCUUCUCCCAGGACCCGUCCGGCUGCAUCUGUCUCAGGCUACCCAGAGAAGAUGAUGUUUGCACCCGCUGCUGAUGGGCCUUCUGGAUCCUUCCAUCUGCCAUGCAGCAGUGACUCCACUAAGCUCUGUUCUUCAGGAGGCCUUCGCUGCUGUCUAAACGUUUGCUCCGCACUUACGGAAAGUUCCCUCUCAUUCAAAAGAGCAGGCUUGGAAAUAGAUCCCGCAUCUGUUUCUUUGGAACAAUAGAACACAUUUAAACC